rnacentral:lncRNA from 1 species
GGGGCGCUCCUGCCGGGCCUUGGCUUGCGGGCCACAGCUUCAGACCCGGUGCCCCUCCGCCCAUUCGGGCUCGGCCCGGGGGCCCGGCCGCGCUCCCCGGAGAGGAGCCGAGGCCGGCGUGGAACCCCGGCGAUGCGGGCGGGGGACGCGCUGGAUGGGAGCAGGGGCUCAGACGCCAGCCUCCAAAUGGCACCUGCCCGUUGUCCCCCGACUGUUCGCCCGGCCUCUGCUUGGCUGGGAAGAGGGCAGGUGCGGGGCGUGUUGUACUUUUCACCGUUCCGCUGAAAUUGUCGUUGGGUGCAAGGUUUAAUCAACGACGUGCGCUCGCGCGUUUCCAACAACACAGGGCAAACUUUUUUUGACGCCCGGAUGCCGGGGGAGCCCGGGUGAAACUCAAGCAGCCUCCUUUUAAAGAAGCCUCUGGGGACUCUGGGGCAUAAGAGGCAAUGGCUAAUUUCUAAAUAACUGUGCAGGGAUCAGGGAGCGAGCUUUCUUUCCGCCACCAAGUUCGGCUCUCCUUUUACCCCCUCCAAAAAAAUGUGACUUGCUCUGGUCCUCGCAUCCCCUAGGCCCCUCCUUAAGGUUUUCUGCGCGGUCCCCGCCGCGGAGAAGGGUGCGUCUCCCGGACAUGGAAGACGCAGCAGCGAGACCUUCCUUUGUGCCUGCCCUUGGCUGUGAACUUUCCCGCGCGGUGGGUUCUCCUUUAAGAAAGUAGCGAUCUCUAUGAAUAUUUAAUGUCGAGCGCGGGCCGGCCGGGCGGAGGGGAGCCCGCGUCCAAGUCCCCGCAGCCGCGGUGGGGACCGGACGCUGGGGGCUCAGGCGCGCGGCCCGCCGCGUUCAUUUCCAUAAGAAAGCCGGCGUGGCGGCUGGAGGGAGGAUUCUGGCCCCUGCCGCCCUCCCCGCCCCACCCCCCAUAGCCGGCUUUCUGCUGGAAGCGGGCUGGCUCGGGAGCUCAGAGUCCCCAGUGUGCGCUCCUGUCUUUGAUGGUAUCGACAAAGUGUGGUUUCACGUGUUGCCCCAACUGAGGCCGGUUUCCUGUCUGUAUGCGGAGUAGAUGGAAGGACCGCGCUGGGUGAGUCUAGAACGCGGGGCGUGGGCAGCAGGCCCGGGGGCGGAGAGGGAGGGCCUCUGGCCAGAGGAGGUUCUCUCGCGGGCAGGGUUCUGCAAGGGGAGCCAGGUGGAAACGAAGACCCCGGCACAGAGGAGCAUGAGCUUGUGCGUGUGUGGGGGUCUGUGUGGGGGGGGGGCGUGGGGGGGGUGAUGGGAGACCAGGGGCCGAUGGUGGGAAGGUCUGUCGGGCCUAGCCGUGACCCUCUGUGAAGACCCGGGCAACUUUCCCUCCCUGCCCGCCGCUGACCCUCUUCCAGCGAAGCAAUAAAGUGAACUUGUUCAGAUCCUUGAUUCCGCGGGCGGUUCAGUCCUUUCUGCUUUGGUAUUGCAUUUCUUUCUGCUUUUCAAUGUGAACAGCCACGUGUCCUCAAUUCUAUAGUGUGUGUAUAUAUAUAUUGUACAGUGUGUGUGUAUAUAUUCUAUAAUGUGUGCACAUAUAUUCUCUAGUAUGUAUAUAAUGUAUCUAUAUGAACUUUCCUAGGUACUUUAUGAUCCCAUCUGGAUAAAUUAAAACCCAGAUCUGUAACGUUUAUUCUUAGAUAGUUUACAAAAGGCAGGGGGAAAAAUGUAUGAGACCCAUGUCUGCAAAUACAACAAAAGUACUUUCUCUUCUGCCUGAAAAAGUUGCCUGCAAAUGGGGUCCCUUCACUGCAUCUGGACCACCUGUAUUUCUCCAUGAAACUAAAUUGGUCACAGAUAAAGCACCCAUCAGAUCAAGCAAUUAAGUACCAAUUAUGACUAUUAAUGACUUUAUUACUAAUGAUUGGAGUUGAGGGCUCCCAACCAGCUCAAGGUAAUCAAGCGGGUUCAAAAUUCUGCUACCUCAGAUUUUUACAGCACUCCGCCCCGGUAAAUGAGGAAGGCGGGCAGAUGAUCUUCUCAAAGUGCUCCAGUAGGUAUCCCAUGGUCAAAGCUGAAUUUCUUUCUUUCAGGAAAGUUUAUUUCUCCUUCUGGGAAAUAACAGAGUCUUCAUUUCUGGCUGCAUCAACUUAUGCAAUGUGUCAUUGAUGGUGGGGGAGAUUUGGUUUGGAUGCAGAAUGGGGGGGGGGGAGUUGGAGGACAAGGAAAGUGCCUUCGCUCUCUGGUUCUUCUGGUAAAGCCUCAGAAGAUUUUAAGAAACAAGUGUUUUAAAUCUUCAGAUGGGGUGGCUGGGAGUUGAGGAAGUGAGAGAGGGUGCCCUCGGGGUUACGUUUAAAAUUGUCUUUUUGCUCCUGGGUUCAUGUGGUUUUAGCCCUUCCAAGCUGAGCGACUGUUCAGAAGAAAAGACUAGGGAGACUCAUCUGUUGGUGUAAAGACUGCUGUGGCUGAAAAUGAUUCACCACCCCUCCUGGCCUCUUUAUUGACACCCCUUCUCAUCCCAAAUGGAAAUCUAUGCUCAGUUCUGGGAUGGGAGGAGGCGGCAUGGGGGGAGGGGAGGAAUCCAUGACUGGUGGGCGUCCACAGCCAGGAGAGGAGUGGGCAGCCUGCAGGGUUUUGGCUGGCCACCGGAUCACAGACAGGCUAGGCAACUGAGCAGCUGGAGGUGUUGGUCACCCACUCACACCCCAUAGUUCGACUCUUCCUACCAGCCUGUCAGGAUGUUGGUGAGUUGGGGCAAUGACUUUGUGCGGGACAUCUCCCCAGCACCUCAGCUGGCUUCUGGUGGGAGCUCACAACAGCAGCACACAUCUGGUUCUGAUGGAUUUACCAGGCUGGUAGGGAGAUGUCCCGGCUGCAUGGCAGAAACCUGAGCUGCUGGGGACCAGCAAACCCCUCUGCUAAGCCGCAUAAAGGCUGGGAUAGUUUCAGAGUGCUGGCUGCUCCCUCCUGCUCUCAAUGUGAAGCCCAUGACCCCGCCCUGCUCUAUUCUGUUCUAGUUCAUUGACCUGCAGUGAGGCUCUCUUACACCUCAGCCAAGAGGCCAGCCCAGGUGGGAUCCCCCACAGGUGACCGUGUGGAGCGGGGUCAUCCUGAGACACCCAAGGGGUCCCAAAACCUUAGCUGAGUGAAAUGGGCCUAGGGUGGUCUCCCUUGCCUGGCUCAGGCUGUCGGCAGCCUACAGGAGACCGCCGUCCCUGUCGUCAUCAUCGUCGUCCUGUUACUGCAGCUCCUUUGAGGGGGCAGCGACCCCAGAGGCAGAUCUUCACACACAGCUCCAUCCUCAACAACAAAUCGCUGGCUGACCCUGAGCAUCCCAGAAAGAGGGGCUAGAGGCCAGGCAGCUGCCUUAACUCAGGCAGCUUGGGCCCUACCUCCCACUGAGCCUGGUGGUGGGCAAGGGCCAGGGCUUGGGAACAGUGCUCAGAACAUCUGUUGUCCCCCUUCCUCAGGACAGGAGCAGACAAGACUGGACAACACAUACCUGUGAAGCAGGGCAAGGGUGGAGGCGGGAAUUGGCCCCCCCAUCCUGCAUCCUCCAGGGUUCUAGGGCUCAGUGCUGGGAAAAAGUACACCCCCGCACACCCCAGUGGGGCCCUUUGAUCCUAUGGGGUGGCCUGGGACAGAAUACCAGAGGCCAUUUGGUCCCUCCCCCUUACCCUAGGAAGGCCCCGCUCCUUGCUCAUGGAGGACUCACUUGCUUUCUCAAGAAACCCAUUGGCAGAAUCUCGGGAGAGUUGGAGGCAAUUUUCACCAAUUUACUUACAACUCAUUUGCAAAUUGACAUCUGAAGAGGACAGCAAACCUGAUACCCAGAUAGAGCCCCUUGCGGUGUCGGAAAACUUCUCCCCUCCUGGUGGACCCCUGAAAGCCCCCUAAGUGGCCCCUACACAUUGUUCCAGAAGGCAGGUUAGCUGGAGAAAGGAGUUUGACCCAUCCCCUGCACCCAAGGAAAUACAAAUGAAUUUUGUUCUCAAAAGGAAAAGUGAAGAGCUUGAAACUUGAAACUAGCUUCAUCAAAGUCCUCUUGUCAGCGACUAUAACCCACCCCCCACCUCUUUUUCCUUUCUUCUUUGGGGCUUAAAGUUGCAUUUUUAGGGGGGUUUCCUUACUGUUGUUCAUGUCAGCAAAGCACUCACCCACUGCCCAGGAUGGAACUUUAGUUGGAAACCACACGCAUCAAAAAAUUCUCUUGAAAAUUUUCUGCUAUUCUUCCCAACUAGAGGAGUUGACAAGAUGUAGACACAUCAAGUUGCAGAAAAUACAGUGGACUGAUCAGCCAAAAUGCAUCUCAUUUGCACUUGUAUGCAGCCGGGGGUAGGAGCUAGUGUCAGUCACUCCUGCAGCCCUCUCCAUGCUGCACUGACUGGCUGGAAUUUCCGAGCAGGCCCCACUGCAGGGGCCAUUUGUGGGGUCGAAGCCCCACCCCAGCCCAGGCCAGCAGGGGCUGGGGGUGGGGGGAGCUGCAGGCAUCUGGAGGCCUGGCUUGAGGGCUGGAGCCAGCUUGGUCAGAGCUUCUGCUCUGGGCAGCUCAGGGUCUGGGAGACCUGGGGGGGUGGAUGCUGGCAGCUGGAUGCCUAGCUCCACAGCCAUCCCCCUCUGCCCCCUGCACCCCUGGGGGUGGAAUUAAAGAAACCCCACUAAGUAGAGAGAUAGUCACUGCCCAUGUUUUGCACCUGAUUUGACCGAUCUCCCAAGAUUUUAUCUUCAUCAUCCACUCUGUCCUCAUCACCUCUGCCUGAUGGGUUCCUCCUCCUCCUCUAAGUCCUGAACUUGGACUCUGAGCUUCUCACUCACUUCUUGCCUGUCUCAUUGAGUCCCACCCCUGCCCCCACCCCCACCCCCCAGUUCCCAGGGAAACGUGGGAGCUGCUCUGGGAGGCUUGGAACCCAGUGGGGGCGUUAGGGUGAAGUCACCGGCUUUUAAGGUGUCACUGCUCCCUACUCCCUUUUCUGGGCUGGUCUCAGCUCUUCCUGAUCUUGGUGCUAGGGCCCAACUCCUACCCACCAAUUCUUACCUAGCAGCUGGAAACCCCGGUGGUUCUGGGGCACAGGGUCACUGCUGGGGCUGGGAGCCUCUAGCAAGAGAGGUGGAGGGGCAGGAGGAACCGGGCUGAGUGCCUGGGCUUAGGCCAUGGGAAACGGUCACCUUCCUCCAGAGGGCCUGGCAGCAUGUUCUGGGGGCGUCCUUUCCACUCUGUCCCACAUGCUUUCCUUGCAAAGGCCUUGGUGACUCAGACAUCUGCCAACCCCAAAGCUCCCUUCUCCAGUCUGUUGUUGCCCCGAUGGGAAGUGAGUGCAAUGCCCUGGGUCUAUACCGCCAGGCCUCCAGGCAUCACCACCUUCCCUGGGGACAACAGGGAGCGAUGUGUGUUGCCCAGACUCACAGGAUGGCCAGGAACCAUCACCCAGCCACCCUGGCCCCGCGGCGGCCGGCAGGAGUUCAGGGCUGAGGCUGUGUCACAUGGGGGCAGACAGCCCCACAACACUGACUGCCCUGGCACAUCUGUGGGGCCCAGGGGAACAAUCGAUGGACUCUGUCCCGGGAGCUGGGGACACGCCUGGAAGGUGUGUGAUCCUGCAGAGAUCCUUGGUGGUGCAGCUUUUACAGGAAUCCUUUGUUACAGCUUUGUUAGCCUGCUCGCCUUCAGCGGUUCCCAGUCCAGUCCUGGGCCCCCGCAGUCCCAUCACCGCCCCUCCUCCACGCCCCUGCCGAGUGCCUGACCUGGCGCAGGGGACCUGCCCCUCACAUCCAUGGCCCCAUCCUGAUCCCCUCCUGCAAAAGGCUUGUUCCUGAAUCCCACCAUCCCUCCGGGCUUGGGGCAAAUGAACAGGGUUUGCAUCCCCUUCGCCUCUGGGGCGGGGGUCUCCUGAAAGAACAGGCUUUUGGAAUGUGACCUCCGGCUGGGCGGUGGACUCUAGCUGCUUGUGCAAGAGCUGCUCUCUUGCCACAGGCCACAGGUGGGGGUGUGCUCAGCAGGGCUAUGGGUACAGGUAACCUGCCCUCUCACACUGCAAGGAUUUUGACAGAAAGAGCAGGGCGAAGAUAACCUGGCUAGGAACUAACUUGGCUCCUUGGGGACACAGAGCACCCACAGCCCAGUAUUCCUGGGUUGGGUUUGCCCUCCCAGCCCCCAAACUAGGUAGGGCUCUUCUUUUGCCCAAGUACAGCUGGAGGCAGGGUGUUUCAGAGGGUGCAGUUAAUGACCUUGACAGGCACAGAAGCUUGCAUGCAGGAUCCUAUAAGGCCAUGCAUUUCCCCUUUCUCCACAGCUUUUCUGUUUAAUUUGUCUUCAUUCCUUCUUUCUAGGCCUUUCUGCCUGCCUGGAGUCAUCUGGAGAGAAAUCAAGUGUGAGCACCUCUCCCGCAGAAAGUUCUUGCAAGGUUCCAGUCGACUAAAUGAGCUUGCCUUCUGCCAGGAGUAAGGCAGUCCUGCAAGACAGAACCAAAGUGCCAUUCCCCAGGAAGCUCUUCUUUGUCAGAACAUCCCUGGUCCUUUUGUUUUUGUUUCUGAAUUAAAAAGAUGUGUUUGCCUGCC